rnacentral:rRNA from 1 species
AUUGAACGCUGGCGGCAUGCUUUACACAUGCAAGUCGAACGGUAACAGGGAGCUUGCUCCGCUGACGAGUGGCGAACGGGGGAGUAAUGCGUCGGAACGUGCCGAGUAGUGGGGGAUAACGCAUCGAAAGGUGUGCUAAUACCGCAUACGUACUGAGGUAGAAAGUGGGGGACCUUCGGGCCUCACGCUAUUCGAGCGGCCGACGUCUGAUUAGCUAGUUGGUGAGGUAAAGGCUCACCAAGGCGACGAUCAGUAGCGGGUCUGAGAGGAUGAUCCGCCACACUGGGACUGAGACACGGCCCAGACUCCUACGGGAGGCAGCAGUGGGGAAUUUUGGACAAUGGGCGCAAGCCUGAUCCAGCCAUGCCGCGUGUCUGAAGAAGGCCUUCGGGUUGUAAAGGACUUUUGUCCGGGAGCUAAUACCCAGUGCUAACAACGCUGGGGGCUGAGAGUACCGGAAGAAUAAGCACCGGCUAACUACGUGCCAGCCGCCGCGGUAAUAC